CAAAGUUCAACUUUUAUAUAUUAUCACUGUAAAAGUUUUGAUGUUUUCAAAUAUAUCCUUACCGUUAGAAUUCGUUAGAAAAAAAUUUAGUUAACCAUAGGUUAAAUACUUAACCCUAGUUAGUUUUUAAUAUUUUUACCCAUCUUAUAUUAUACUGUUAUGGUCUUUGGAGGAAUAUAUUUGUAAUGGCAAAAUUGAAAAAAUAAACAGUUAUCUAACGGUUCUCUAACGAUAAUAAUUCAGAGGAACAUAUUUGAAAAUAUCAGAACUUUUAAAGGGACAAUAUGUAAAAAUUGACGUUUGUAGGAAUAUAUUUAUUAUUUACUAUAU
rnacentral:lncRNA from 1 species